UUGUACUUCCUUUAUCUUGAUUAAGAGCACAAAGCACUCUUUUUCUGGCCGAGCCUGUCAGAUGUAACCUCACGCAGCACAUGUAGCCAAAUAAAUACAUCAUGUGUGCAGGGGGAGUUACAAUACAAAUUCGUUCUGGUUGGUUCUUUUCACAUCAGGUAUGGCCCAGGAUGUUUCAGAGAUAAGCAGGCAAAAACAUUCAUUUUCAUGAUCUGGAAACGCACUGCUUGGAGCAGCAGGAAAGAUUGCAGAACUGAAGACAUCCUAGAGGGAGAAGCCAAUCUGUGCGUCCCCAAGCUUAAAAGCAAGAUCUUGGUAAGGACUGCUGUGCCUGUCUGCCUG